CCUACGGGAGGCAGCAGUGAGGAAUAUUGGUCAAUGGCCGUAAGGCUGAACCAGCCAAGUCGCGUGAAGGAAGAAGGAUCUAUGGUUUGUAAACUUCUUUUAUAGGGGAAUAAAGGUAUCCACGUGUGGAUAUUUGCAUGUACCCUAUGAAUAAGCAUCGGCUAACUCCGUGCCAGCAGCCGCGGUAAUACGGAGGAUGCGAGCGUUAUCCGGAUUUAUUGGGUUUAAAGGGUGCGUAGGUUGUUUUUUAAGUCAGCGGUGAAAGUUUGUGGCUCAACCAUAAAAUUGCCGUUGAUACUGGAAGACGUGAGUGUGUGUGAGGUAGGCGGAAUGCGUGGUGUAGCGGUGAAAUGCAUAGAUAUCACGCAGAACUCCGAUUGCGAAGGCAGCUUACUAAGCCAUAACUGACACUGAAGCACGAAAGCGUGGGGAUCAAACAGGAUUAGAUACCCCGGUAGUC
rnacentral:rRNA from 1 species